UACGUAGGGUGCAAGCGUUGUCCGGAAUUAUUGGGCGUAAAGAGCUCGUAGGCGGUUAGUCGCGUCUGCUGUGAAAACUCGGGGCUUAACCCUGGGCCUGCAGUGGGUACGGGCUGACUAGAGUGCGGUAGGGGGAGACUGGAAUUCCUGGUGUAGCGGUGAAAUGCGCAGAUAUCAGGAGGAACACCGGUGGCGAAGGCGGGUCUCUGGGCCGUAACUGACGCUGAGGAGCGAAAGCGUGGGGAGCAAACAGG
rnacentral:rRNA from 1 species